rnacentral:lncRNA from 1 species
AAUAAAUUAUUGUGUUGUGUUUUUUCCUUUAUUACAUGGAUUAAAAAAAACUUGCUAAUCAUUAAAACUCAUUAUAGUUUUUAAUAACUUUUCAUCCUUUUGCAAUAGAAAAUAGAUUUUUUUAUAAAAAGAUUUGAGUAGUGAAAAAGUUUUCUUUACCAAUACUAUACAAUUGGUGUAAUAGUUGAUGUUCAAGCUAAAACUAGCAAGAUAUCAGUGCUCCAUGAAUAUAUUUGAUAUAAUAUAAAAUUUAUUUAGAUAGGUAUGUAAAUUGAAGUAAGUUAUUUAAUUGUAAAAUAAAUAAUGAUUAUAUAAAUUCAAUUAUAUUAAAUAGAUAUUGUGUCGAUAAUGAUUAUGUGAGAUGCAAAAUUACUUGUUUAUAUGAUUAUUGAGUAUUAUUCAUUUUGAUAUGGUAUAAAACGCAUAUAGAUACACAUGUAAAUUUGAAAUAAGUUACUUAAUUAUAAAAAGAAGAAUAAUUCUAUAAAAUCAAUUAAUGUCGAUUGAAAAUAAAAUAUGUAUUGUCUUGAU